rnacentral:rRNA from 1 species
UACGUAGGGGGCUAGCGUUGUCCGGAAUCAUUGGGCGUAAAGCGCGCGUAGGCGGUCAGGUAAGUCCGGUGUGAAAGUCAAAGGCUCAACCUUUGAAUGCCGCUGGAUACUGCCUGACUUGAGUCCGGAAGGGGCGAGUGGAAUUCCUGGUGUAGCGGUGAAAUGCGCAGAUAUCAGGAGGAACACCAAUGGCGAAGGCAGCUCGCUGGGACGGUACUGACGCUGAGACGCGAAAGCGUGGGGAGCGAACAGG